UAGGGAAUCUUCGGCAAUGGACGGAAGUCUGACCGAGCAACGCCGCGUGAGUGAAGAAGGUUUUCGGAUCGUAAAGCUCUGUUGUUAGAGAAGAACGUUGGUAGGAGUGGAAAAUCUACCAAGUGACGGUAACUAACCAGAAAGGGACGGCUAACUACGUGCCAGCAGCCGCGGUAAUACGUAGGUCCCGAGCGUUGUCCGGAUUUAUUGGGCGUAAAGCGAGCGCAGACGGUUCUUUAAGUCUGAAGUUAAAGGCAGUGGCUUAACCAUUGUACGCUUUGGAAACUGGAGGACUUGAGUGCAGAAUGGGAGAGUGGAAUUCCAUGUGUAGCGGUGAAAUGCGUAGAUAUAUGGAGGAACACCGGUGGCGAAAGCGGCUCUCUGGUCUGUAACUGACGCUGAGGCUCGAAAGCGUGGGGAGCAAACAGG
rnacentral:rRNA from 1 species